rnacentral:rRNA from 1 species
AUUGAACGCUGGCGGCAGGCCUAACACAUGCAAGUCGAACGAGUGGCGGACGGGUGAGUAAUGCUUGGGAAUCUGGCUUAUGGAGGGGGAUAACGACGGGAAACUGUCGCUAAUACCGCGUACAAUAGGAUGAGCCCAAGUGGGAUUCGGUAGUUGGUGGGGUCAUGGCCUACCAAGCCGACGAUCUCUAGCUGGUCUGAGAGGAUGACCAGCCACACCGGGACUGAGACACGGCCCGGACUCCUACGGGAGGCAGCAGUGGGGAAUAUUGCGCAAUGGGGGCAACCCUGAUGCAGCCAUGCCGCGUGAGUGAUGACGGCCUUCGGGUUGUAAAGCUCUGUUAAUCGGGAGACGGUACCGGAAUAGAAAGCCACGGCUAACUACGUGCCAGCAGCCGCGGUAAUUC